UACGUAGGUGGCAAGCGUUGUCCGGAUUUACUGGGCGUAAAGGGCGUGCAGGCGGUUUGUUAAGUGCAGAGUGAAAGCUCCCGGCUCAACUGGGAGGGGUCUUUGCAUACUGGCAAACUCGAGGGAGGCAGAGGAAAGUGGAAUUCCCGGUGUAGUGGUGAUAUGCGUAGAUAUCGGGAGGAACACCUGUGGCGAAGGCGGCUUUCUGGGCCUUACCUGACGCUGAGACGCGAAAGCGUGGGGAGCGAACCGG
rnacentral:rRNA from 1 species